UACGAAGGGGGCUAGCGUUGCUCGGAAUCACUGGGCGUAAAGGGUGCGUAGGCGGGUCUUUUAAGUCAGGGGUGAAAUCCUGGAGCUCAACUCCAGAACUGCCUUUGAUACUGAGGAUCUUGAGUUCGGGAGAGGUGAGUGGAACUGCGAGUGUAGAGGUGAAAUUCGUAGAUAUUCGCAAGAACACCAGUGGCGAAGGCGACUACCUGGCCCAUUCUUGACGCUGAGGCGCGAAAGCUAGGGGAGCGAACGGG
rnacentral:rRNA from 1 species